AUGUCCGGGCAGAGGCGUGGAAAGACCUUGAUCAUCACCGAUGAUGAGGAAGAGGAGGAGGGGCAGGCGGAGGACCUGAACCCGUUCUCCUUCAGGGAGUUCAUGCGCUGGAAGACUCACGACGGCGACCCGGAGCAGGACCAGAACCAAGUGGAGAGGAACAUGCCUCACCUGGAUGCGGACAUCAGCAGCUGCUUCCUAUCUGAGACUCACCUGGCAACGCAGGAGGAGGAGUGGGGGCGGAGCUUCCAGUCAGGCGUGGAGAGCACCUCCUCCCUGUGCACUGAAGAUGAUGAAGAGGAGGAGGAGGAGGAGACCCGGUUCUCCUCUAAGCCUGAAGGACACACAGAGAACUAUGAGGGAGACGAUGAGACCUCCCUGGCCGAGGCAGCCCCCACCUGCAGGAGGAGGACUGCUCAGAUGCAGCAGCUGAAGGAGGAGAACCAGACUAUGAGGAGGACGCUCAGGGAGCUGCAGAGGAGAGCCGAGGCUGACCAGCGCAGGGUGACACAGCUGACAGAAGAGCUGCUGCAGAGGAGGCGUCAGGAGGAGAAGGAGGCGCAGGAUCUUGAGAACAUGGUUCACUCUGUGGAGCAGAACCUGCAGCUGAUGACGAGCAGACGAGAGGGUUGGCUGUGGAUGACGUCAGGCGUGAAAGCUCACCUGAACGGUGGUGCCGACCAGAAUAGAUAAUCAUUUCUGGAGUCAGAAUGCAGACCGGCUCCAAAAGAACCAAAAGGCUCACAAGCAGAACCAUGUGGUGGUUUGAUUCC
rnacentral:lncRNA from 1 species